rnacentral:rRNA from 1 species
AUUGAACGCUGGCGGCAUGCCUUACACAUGCAAGUCGAACGGCAGCACGGGAGCAAUCCUGGUGGCGAGUGGCGAACGGGUGAGUAAUGUAUCGGAACGUGCCCAGUCGUGGGGGAUAACGUAGCGAAAGCUACGCUAAUACCGCAUACGAUCUGUGGAUGAAAGCGGGGGACCGUAAGGCCUCGCGCGAUUGGAGCGGCCGAUAUCAGAUUAGGUAGUUGGUGGGGUAAAGGCCUACCAAGCCGACGAUCUGUAGCUGGUCUGAGAGGACGACCAGCCACACGGGGAGUGAGACACGGCCCAGACUCCUACGGGAGGCAGCAGUGGGGAAUUUUGGACAAUGGGCGCAAGCCUGAUCCAGCAAUGCCGCGUGCAGGAUGAAGGCCUUCGGGUUGCAAACUGCUUUUGUACGGAGCGAAAAGGCUCUCUCUAAUACAGGGGGCUCAUGACGGUACCGUAAGAAUAAGCACCGGCUAACUACGUGCCAGCCGCCGCAGUAA